CGUAGCCCAAGUCUUCAGUCUUUACUCUUCCUUCUUGGCUCUUUUCUGCUCACACCUGAGUGUACCUCUCCCCUCCCCCCACUCAACUUUCUCCCCUCAGUCUCCCUUGCCUUGUCCCUCCUCCCUUCUUCAUGUUCUCUUCCCGAUCCUGAAACUAUACAUUGAUGCCAGUAGAGCAGGCGCUAUUUUUAAAUCAUCCUCUGGCCCCUUCCAGUCCAGGUCGUGCUAUCAGUUGCUGGCUCCAUUCGUGGGGCAAGAAUCCAUCAAUCAAAGCCAAGGGCUAAUAAUCAGAAUUUCACGAAUGAGUCAGUGUCAUCAUUGCUGAAUUUAGUCUGCAGCCCUAAUAUUAUCAUUGCAGAGAACAUCACUGACUGAUAUAAUGUCAGAUGGAAAUUUACAGUGCAAAAAAAUGAAUGGAAAAUCAUUUGGAGAAAAUAGUCUGGAAUGCAGGAUGUGUGCAGACUGCUAGUGGUAUGACAAUCCACAAAGUAAGU